rnacentral:rRNA from 1 species
UGAGCUUGAUCCUGGCUCAGGACGAACGCUGGCGGCGUGCCUAAUACAUGCAAGUCGAGCGCAGGAAGCCGGCGGAUCCCUUCGGGGUGAAGCCGGUGGAAUGAGCGGCGGACGGGUGAGUAACACGUGGGCAACCUACCUUGUAGACUGGGAUAACUCCGGGAAACCGGGGCUAAUACCGGAUGAUCAUUUGGAUCGCAUGAUCCGAAUGUAAAAGUGGGGAUUUAUCCUCACACUGCAAGAUGGGCCCGCGGCGCAUUAGCUAGUUGGUAAGGUAAUGGCUUACCAAGGCGACGAUGCGUAGCCGACCUGAGAGGGUGAUCGGCCACACUGGAACUGAGACACGGUCCAGACUCCUACGGGAGGCAGCAGUAGGGAAUCAUCCGCAAUGGGCGAAAGCCUGAGCGGUGCAACGCCGCGUGAACGAUGAAGGUUUUCGGAUCGUAAAGUUCUGUUAUGAGGGAAGAACAAGUGCCGUUCGAAUAGGUCGGCACCUUGACGGUACCUCACGGAGCCCG